rnacentral:misc_RNA from 1 species
GAUUUAGCACCAGCUUUUUGUUUACAAAGCUCUCGCAAAACUGAUUAUAGAAAAGAAAACACAAAGAAGUGAAUGUACUUUUCCUGUAUCAAACUACAAAUGCUCUUCCUUGCCUUUUCCUUCUCAGUUUUCUUUCCUCCUCUCUAUUGUCCCCUCUAGAGUCUCAAUACUUAGUCACCCAAUGUCACUAGACCCAAAUGGUGAUUUCUUCAAUCAAACACUCUCUUUUUCUCCUCUAAUUUUUCUUUCCUUCUCACCUAUAUAUCAUCAAUUUUGCUCUGAACAUUAACCUUUUGUUUGGAUGGGGGAAUUUGAAAUUUAAUACUUAAAUUUAAUAAAAGAAUAUUUUUUGUUCAACUGAUUAGAAUCAUGAAUAUAUAUUAGAC